rnacentral:lncRNA from 1 species
GGGUCAAGAGGUUCGAAAUCCAUGAUCUUUUAAAGUGGUUUACUCUCAAAACAAGUAGUCUUGACAUUGCACAUAAUAUAUCUAAGAAAGGGACCAACUCAUGCAUACAAUGUUCAAUCUCCAUUGUUCUACCCUUUUUCCAAACAUACAAGUUACACAAUCACUUCCCAAUGUCAAGCCCAACUUCCAUCUCUCACCAAUAGAUCCCAAGAAUACUUUACACAUAAAACUCUUUUUCUUUGAAAUCUAUAAAGGAUUUUCUCAACUUCUAUCACCUGAUUUGAAAGUGGGAUAGCUUCUUCAUCCUAACUCCUGUGAGAUUUAUU